rfam:Clostridiales bacterium 41_21_two_genomes Ley3_66761_scaffold_31, whole genome shotgun sequence.
AGAUAUGCGUUGAUGUCGGAGGUUGCGCUUAACCCAGCGGUAAUUUCGACGGAGUAUGUCCGAUUUAAAACCGGGCGACAU